AUGUACGGUACCCGACUCUCCAGCGAGUUCACUACGGGUUUGAAAGAUUUCCUGGUAGUGGCAAAUGCGAACAAGCAGCGAGGUUUUAUUAUCUGUCCAUGUGCUGUCUGUAAGAAUCAGAAGGGUUACUCCUCCUCAAGAGACAUUCACAUGCACCUGCUUCGGCACGGUUUCAUGCGAAGCUAUAAUUGUUGGACCAAGCAUGGAGAAAGAGCGGUUAGAAUGGAAGAAGAUGAAGAAGGGGAUGAUAUCGAUGACAACUAUCAUGAUCAUUUCGGUGAUACUUUCAUGGAGGAUGAUGCUGAAGGUGGGGAAGGGUUAGGUGAAUGUGAAGAAGAGGCACAUGAUGAGCCCGCUGAUGAUCUUGGUCGGACCAUUGCUGAUGCACGGAGACGCUGCGAAACUGACAAGGAGAGGGAGAAUUUGGCUCGCAUGUUAGAGGAUCACAAAAAGUCGCUGUACCAAGGAUGCGAUAAUAGUCUGAAAAAGCUGGGCUGCACACUGGAUUUGCUAAAAUGGAAGGCACGGGAAGGUGUAGCUGACUCAUCAUUUGAAAAUUUGCUGAAAAUGUUGAAGAAUAUGUUUCGGAAGAAUAACGAGUUGCCCGCCAGUACGUACGAAGCAAAGAAGGUUGUUUGCCCUCUAGGUUUAGAGGUUCUGAAGAUACAUGCAUGCAUUAACGACUGCAUCCUCUACCGCGAUGACCCUGGUGACGAUGUUGAGGGCGAGAAACCCAGGAAGAGGGUUCCUGCCAAGGUGAUGUGGUAUGCUCCUAUAAUACCACGGUUGAAACGUCUAUUCAGGAACAAAGAGCAUGCCAAGUUGUUGCGAUGGCACAAAGAGGACCAUAAGUCCGACGGGGAGUUGAGACACCCCGCUGAUGGAACGCAAUGGAGAAAGAUCGACAGAGAGUUCAAAGAUUUU
rnacentral:rRNA from 1 species